CUCCUCCGCGCGUGAGCCAGCCAGCCUGGGCGGAUGGAGACAAGGAGCAUCAGCCUUUCCAUUAUUCCCUCCUCCCUUUCCGGUGCUUCCGAGCGAGCGGCGACCUCUGUACAUGCCUGUGCCAGCCCUUUCCCCCGGCCUCUGGAGCCAUAUAUUUCUGCACAGUACCUUUGAUUGCAUGCGAUCCCCAUCGUCGUCGCCGGUGGUACGUAUGAUGGCAGCUUGGCAGGAGAGCAGUAGACGGCCGUGCUUCGGCUGCGCAUGAUCCGCCUGCAGUCUUUGCGCAGAUGAUUUUGGCGUGUGUUUGCACCACCACGGCACGGCAACAAAGCCUUUUUCUUUUCUUACGUGCUGGAACGGAAUCUUCGAUCUGCUCGAACCCGGCCUCGAUUGGUGGGUGGAGUGAGUGCCAAGGUAUUCGCAGUGUUGGGGUGUUGCUAGAAGAUCAGCCCAAACUGCGCCGAAUAAUGUCAGAACACUAGCUUCAUACUCACUCCAAAAUAAGUAGUACUCCAGUACUACGACUAGCUACUCCAGUUCACACUCACUAUUCUCUCUCGUCUAAGCACGCAUAAACUGUGAUGAAAUUAAGUUUCCGUAGCUGGUUAGCAUAUCCGGCCGGCAUGCAUUCUUUCAGCCCACGUGCCCCGGCUCAAAAUCAUGUCAUGUACGUAUGUGCCCUUUCACGUGACGAAUCAUUGAACUAA